CCAGUGUUCUGCUAGGGGCUGGGCUUCCGUGAGGGCGUGUUCCUUCACGAGUGUGUCAGGAGACUUUUACCUGUAGGGAGGGUUUAGACCCAACACUCCGACAAAAUUCACCAAGAUGAUGUCAGUACAGCUAGUGAAAUGGAGCACACCUCCUUCAGCCUCUCGGCCUCUAGAAGAAGCUAGAUUGCCAAGGGUCUGCGUACAGAAGCUAACGGAACUCAGAAUGACACGACAAGAGCAGAAAUGGUUAGUGCGACCCAGCAUUUUACAUGCCCUACUAUUAUACCAAAUGUGGCGAUGUGGAGGGUUUGAGUUUGCAAACCAGUACUCUACCCUUCACGUUCACAGCUUGUAUAGAACAAAAUGCCAUUUUAAAAGUUG